AAUUAAAGAAAACCAUUACAGCUAGAUAGUUCAAAUGACAAAUACAACGCAAAACAAAAGAAAUAAAAAAUAGUGCCACUCUUAUUGCCGAAAAGGAUUAGGAUUUGUCAAACCUGAGGUAUCACUUCUUUAACUGAUUCGCUAACUACUUUCAGGGGAGAACCUAAAUGAGAAGGACCGAUCCUCUGUUUCAUAAUGCGAGGGGAUCCAGAUGAACUUCUUGGUGACAGUGGUGGUGCACUGCCUGCUGGAAACAUAGAAGGCAAAGUACUGCCUGCAGUGGCAUGUGGACUAGAAGAAUUUCCCUGAACAUUCAGGGGCCUACCUGCCUUUGCUUCAGUUAGCAGUUGUGUCACCUGCAACCAUAAAGUCGGGAAAAUGAAAAAAACUGUCAUGCAUCCGAAAAGAUGAAACAAUAUGUAGUAUGUAAAUCAUAGGUAUCCUAAUUAAAAAAUAUAUAUAUAUAAACUUUAGCAUUUCCAACAACUAAUUACAAAUCAAUGCCUCAUUGAGCUCGGAUUCGAUUUGAGGGCCAAAGGGGACACCUCAUUGAGCUGCAACAGCUCGGCGUCAAACGACGCCGCUUCCACCACGAUUCCCAUAGUCAUCGGACGCAUAUACAGAUCACGGAACCCUAGAUUCGGAAAUUCGAAUCCCCCCAAAGCUCUUUCCUUUCUAUUAUAAUAUUCGUUUCAAAUCAAUGCCUUUUUGCCCGAUUCGAAGAGAAAAAAAAAAGGUGAGAUUUGAAGUGGAAGAAACCUCAGAUCCUUGAGGAACUGGAGUGUUUGGCGAGAGAGAAAACGGGAGAGAAAGUGAGGGAAAAUGAGAGAAAAUCCUUCGGCGAUUGAUGCUCAGAAGAGAGAGAGAGAGAGAUUUGUAGAGAGAGAAUAGCCAUAGCAGCUCCAAAAUUUUACACAAGAGAAGAAGAGUCGAAGAAGGUGGAUACGUGUCAGUGUGACAUUGGCCCAAAACUGGAUCAUCUACGGCCAGCAUCAUUACUUUUUCCUGCAACUUAUUGCAACAAAGAAUAAAAAACUUCCACGUAGUUCUUUUUUAAAUUAAUUUACCAUUUUGUUCCAACAUCGUAUAAAGCUGUCAUUUUCCCUAGGGUUUUCUUUUUCCCUUGGAUUUUCUCGGGAAACAAACAGAAAAUAUGGAAGGAGAGGAGCUGCGUCGUUCCGAAGCAAACACGGUCGAUCUUCUGAAUCAAUUCGAACGUAUCUUGGAAUCCGAUCCCCAAAUUAAUGCCGUCGUCUUAUAUAUUGUUCUUUCCUCUUGAUUGAACCCAAAGAUGAAGUGGGAUUUCUUCACCCGUCCCAGUUUUCCAAGCUGAAUAAAGAGGCAGGCCAUUCCUCACCCUCAUCUGAUGACAACGGUGCUGCGCUCAGCUGCUGGCAACUCAGUUUUUUGGAAUAGGGAUCAUAAGUUGGGGAUUUCAACGCAAGUUCUUUUUCGGUUGUAUGAGGCUGCUAAGCAUGCGUUUAUGGCAGCAAGUAGACAAUAUAAGGCACUUAACAGCAGAUCAGAUGUAUCUGGGGAUGAGAAGUCUUUGUAUGUGUCAUUAUCUUUGGAUAAUAGUUUUGAAAGUGACGUCAUGAAGCAUAGCAGGGCACUUUUGUUGCUAAGUAGUGAUUUCGGCACUGCAUGGCAUUCCAGGUUUUCCCCCUUUUCAUUUUCGGUUCAGUAGUACUUUGUCCUCUCUCUUAUACUUGUUCUAACAUAAUUGUUUUAAAAUAGUAGCAGAUAUGCAUGUGAAGCAACGGUCCUUAGUAGUGUCAUGUUCUUUGGUUUCUUGAUAUGGAGAUUCAUCUAUCUUCCUCUAGAGUUUUUGAUGUGCAAUUAUUUACUAUAAUUAUAUAUCAAUAAUUUUGGAUCUUCUUGAUCUUGUCUGCUUUUCAAUUUAUGUCAUGACGCCUACUUGAUCUAGUAUAUGUGAUGCAGGAAGCUCGUUGUGUCACAGAAGCAUAAGCUCUCAGCAUUUUUGGAUAAACAACAUGUGUGGUUAAUUGUUUUGCCAUCUUUGUUCUCAUUUUUAUUCUUUCUAUGCAUGUUUUUGAUUGCAAUUUAACAACUGAUUGUAGAAACUUUUGUCUUUGUAUGUUGAUGCUUCUUAAUAGUGGUGGUGCCGUGCAUAUUCUUGGUUAAAUUAAUCGAGUACAUCCGUAAUUUGGAAUAGUUCUUUUCUAAAUUGGCAAGAAUUUUUUCAGUCGAGGAGAUUGUUGGAUACUUCUUCUAAUUGGAUCAAUGGAAGCGAUAGCCAUUGAUUGGUGGUAUCUUUUGGCAGGAUUACAAGGACUUUGUUGUGGAUGGGAUUUAAACAGAACCUUUCAACUUGAUUAACGAGGAGAACGAAGUAGGUUAUUUUAAUGCAGAUGGAAAGUAUAUUACAUAUGCCAUUAAAAAUGAAGUCAAGGUAAACAUGUUUAUCAUUUUUGGCAAUAAGCAUGAUUAUAAUUCUUGGGUAGUUAAUGCUAGAGUGUUUAUCGUACAAUUAGGUUCUUGGAGGUUACUGAUGAUUUGCUAUGCGUGUAGAGCAUAAAAUAUUAUUUUAUACCGAAGCUUUCAUCUCUCUAAUUAAAUUCAGUUGAAUUAAGUAAUUCAGUCGAUUACUUAAUUCAGUAAAAGAGACAACCAAAGAACAACGUGGAGGUGGAGUCAAAUACAUAAUCAUAGAAUCAGAAACUAAGAUUACCAUAUGUAUUUGAGAGCACAGCUGAUGGCCAUACACUAUUGAUCCCUCAAAUUUUUUGCCAUGAAGCAAAAUGUGGUGACUCGCUCAGACAGCUGACUCCUUUUCAAUAGAAGGGAAUAGCAAAACUAACCCAGCUGGGAAGUAACUUUCACCAAUCACUGUCUUGGCACUUUUACUUAAGUGAAUACAUUGUUGUUUAUUCUGGCCAUCUUUCCAAGAUCAAGCCCAUUGCUCAGUUGGAUAAAGUUUGCAUCCUCAGUUGUGCUGUAUCGACAGGUUUGGAUUUUUGGGUGCCGCUCUCAUGUAGCAAAACAAAAAAAUUUCUUCAGUUGCUGUUUAUUGGCCUUGCUUGAGCAAUUGGACACUGCCAACUUUUGAUAAUUAUGAUCACUGUCAACCUCUAUCUUAGGGCCAUACACUAUUGAUCCCUCAAAUUUUUGCCAUGAAGCAAAAUGUGGUGACUCACGCAGACAGCUAACUCCUUUUCAAUAGAAAGGAAUAGCCAAACUAACCCAGUUGGGAAAUAACGUUCACCAAUCACCGUCUUGGCACUUUUACUUAAGUGAAUACAUUGUUGUUCAUUAUGGCCGUCUUUCCAAGAUCAAGCCCCUUGCUCAGUUGGAUAAAGUUGGCAUCCUCAGUUGUGCCGUAUCGACAGGUUUGGAUUUUUGGGUGCCCCCCUCAUGUAGCAAAACGAAAAAUUAUCUUCAGUUGCUGUUUAUUGGCCUCGCUGUGCAAGAUUUCUGGGGCGCCACUGAGUAUUGGGGUGGAGUCGGGUGGACUUGAAUCCCAAGAGGUUUGACAAAGGUAGAUAUAAUUUUUUCCCAUUUUGAUUUACCAUGGUUUAACAGGUAGUUUAGUGAGAAAAUCUAGAAAUAGAAUUUUGCUUAUAACUUUUCUUUCCCUGGUGAUAACUAAGAAAUUCGGAGUAAAUUGACUUGUGAAUUCGAAUGACAAUGACAAAUCAGUGCACGAGAUGAAAAAUGAUUCACCAUUCUUAUUAUGCGUGGGACAUGAAUCAACAUAGAUAGUUAAGUAGUAACUUUGACUUUAUAUUUUUAUUUUCUUUCUACUUUUCAUCUACCCAAGUCUACAAUGCAUAUGCGACUAAGGAAAAGACCAAGACAUCAACCAGUGCAGAAGCUCCUGAUAGGACUAAUUGUAGACAGCUCUGAAACUACCUCUUCUAUUCAAACGUGGAGGAGAGAAACUCCACCACGUUUGAUGCAAAGCAGUUCGUCUCAAAUUGCAACUUCCUCGGUUUCUCAAAUCUCAACGAUCAAUCUGCAGUGUCCCUCAAGCGGUUUCUCUCAAACUCUUACAAUUUGCAUUGUGUUUCUCUCCCUACACUCUCAUCAACACUAUCACUGCUCUCUUAGAUGAGCACUACAAAUUUAAGCCUGAUGCUGCAAGAGAAAAAUCAUGGGCAAAG